GGUUCAAUGGUCUAGUGGUUAUGACUUCUGCUUUACAGCUGUGAACGCAGACGGUCGCCGGUUCGACCCCGGCUUGAAUCA